rnacentral:rRNA from 1 species
CUACGGGAGGCAGCAGUGGGGAAUAUUGCACAAUGGGGGAAACCCUGAUGCAGCAACGCCGCGUGGAGGAUGACACAUUUCGGUGCGUAAACUCCUUUUAUAUGAGAAGAUAAUGACGGUAUCAUAUGAAUAAGCUCCGGCUAACUCCGUGCCAGCAGCCGCGGUAAUACGGGGGGAGCAAGCGUUACUCGGAAUCACUGGGCGUAAAGAGCAUGUAGGCGGGUAGAAAAGUUGGAAGUGAAAUCCACUGGCUUAACCAGUGAACUGCUUCCAAAACUCUUUACCUAGAAUAUGGGAGAGGUAGAUGGAAUUUCUGGUGUAGGGGUAAAAUCCGUAGAGAUCAGAAGGAAUACCGAUUGCGAAGGCGAUCUACUGGAACAUUAUUGACGCUGAGAUGCGAAAGCGUGGGGAGCAAACAGGAUUAGAUACCCCAGUAGUC